UUUGCCUUUAAAUCAAGGCUCUGCAAUGGAGGGAUUCAUGCAUUUGAGUAUUCAUAAAUUUUGUUGUUAUUAUACAAAGUAAAGUAUUUAUGCAUGGUUAUGGUGAUAAAUGUCAAAUUUGCAUAUUGUAUUUUAUUAAUAGUUGAAACUAAGUCUUUUAUUUUACUUCAUUUACCUCAGGAGUGUUUACCAUGAGGUUGCGCGUGGGAAAGAAGAGGCACGGGGUGAGACCACUCAACGCUAUCUCACGACCAAUUCCUAAUGGAUCCUCUUCAUUUCCAGUGGAGGUUUCCAGCUGGAUGAAGAGAAUGGCGUCGUGGACUGAGAGGAAGAGAAUGUCUCUGGUUACCUCCUCAUCAAAGAAGGACAGGGCCUCCAUUUUCCUGACAAGCUCACCUGUGAUAUAAGAAGACAGAUUUGGAACGACAUGAAGGUCAACAUGAUAUUGUGGUCAUGCGUUAUUGCAGUGAAACAAUGACUCAACAAAGAGCAAUAAAGAUAACGCACCAGUUUGAGGGACUUGGCUGCUACCA